UGCCGCCUGCCCAAUCUGUUUUGCGCAUGCGCAUAAUUGUGCGCAUGCGCAUAAGCUCAACUUGUUUUACGACAGUUUACGACCCUACCUGAUCUGUUCUACGCAUGCGCGACAACCGGAGUUUAAAAAUAGUGAAGAAAUGCGUCAUAUAAGAACACCGGCGAACAUAUGGAGGCUAAGGUAAGUGACGGAAAUGUUCGUUCAAAAGUUUUUAAUGCAGAUAUACAGGCGUCUUUAUGCAUAAACAACAAGGUCACUAAGACAUAAUAUACAGUAUUUCAUAUCAGCAUGUAGUUAGCUAGACUAGCUGGCUGGUUAGGCUUACAAUGAAAUGCAGUGUGUCCGGUUACCUGAAAACUUUGAGUGUUUAAACUUACAUUUAUUUGAUGGUGUAUUGGCCCUGACUAGAUUCGUGUGACAUGUAAACCACAAUCCUUGUUGAUACCAGAGGUGGACACUACUUAAGUAUUUUACAUAAAAGUAAAUGUUUAAGUAUUCCUUUUUUAAUCAGUGUUUUACUUUGGAAAACAUACAUUCCAAAGCAUAUUAUCAUAAUUUUUACUCCACUACAUUUCAUAAUUUCAAGUGUUUGGUUUCCCUACUAAAUAUCCAGCUAAAACCAGCAUAAGCUGGUAGCUGUUUUUUUUGCUGGUUUAAGCUGGUCAGGCUGGAAGACAGCUGAUCCACCAGCUUUGCCAGGCUGGGAGGACCAGCUUAAACCAGCCACCUUAAAGCUUAUGCUGGUUUUAGCUGGAUUUUCCAGUAGGGGUGUAUUUUAAUCUCUAUCUUUUUAUGUUUAUCUAAUUUAUGUUUAUUGUUUCGUCAUGUCAUCUUUGUUUUAGUCCCUUUCAUUGUCUGUGCAUGUCACAUUAAAAAUGUGCAAUAUAAAUAAAGUUGAUUUAAUUUGAUUUAGUCUUUCAUCAUUGUAUCUAUGUGUUAACAUUGUAGCAGCAUAUGGUGAGUCAAGAUAUCUUUUUUUAGUCAUUCGUAUAAAGGACCAACAUGGACCAGUAUUUAUUUCAUGCUGCCCUUCGGCAGUACCUACUAAGUGGGAUGUCGAUGUCGCGGUUGACUGGAAGAGAGUCAUGCGGGUGGCCAACCACUUCGUUGUAGAUGAUUUGUCCAUGCUGAUGGCCAUGCAGCAUAGUUGAAGCAGACCUGUCAGAAAACAUCCAAAGGUGCUAUGAAUCCUAUGACUAGAUACGCAUCCUAAAAUUACUAGAGGUUACGAAGCUCCUUUUUGGAUCCAGCUUCAUUUAUGAAGACUUCAGAUGAUGCCAACACUCACAGAGACUCAAGAUGAUGGCAACAAUAGAUGAAGCAACACCCACAAAGACUUUAGAUGAUGGCAACUAUAGAUGGACAUACAAAAUUGCCAAAUAUAAUAUUUUAUACCACGGGUCUGUUGAAUGCUGCAUUCUGAUUGGCUGAGAAAUGUUCUAUGGGUGUUGAUUAUUUUUCUGUAAACCGCACACCUAACUUGUCAAAUGUCUUAAAAAUAGGCACCAGAGCAAUGUUUGUGGUAACCGUGGUAUAAGAGGAAUAAUUGCCUCCGGUCCUUUGAAUUAUUUGAAAAUAAUGCACACCUGCGGUGUAACGGCACUCCGCUUCACGUCGUGCCGCAUUACCACUUUGGUGUGCAUUAUUUUCUUAUAAUUCAAUGGCCCGUCGUCAAUUAUUCCUUACGUAAUUACUGCCCCAAAGCGCAAGUUUGCAGAUUUUUAACCCACUUUAUAUUGUUACAAAUACAAUAGAUGCUAACAUUUGAACAGAAAAUGUUUCCUCUUUAUUCUUGAGUUAAUUGUGCUGAUUUAUUCCCAUUUUUUUAUCCACAAUACUUUGCCAAAAGUUAUUACAGACAUUAUAACAAUACAAAGUGGGUUGAAAUUCUGCCAACUUACCCUAUAAUGAUAAUUGUACAUGACUUUAAACACAUGACUUGUGUUAACUUAGAGCUAUUGUGAAAUUAAUAUUGUUUUGUUUCCAGAACAUUCUCCUCAGUGAGUCACUGUUACCUCGGACUGAUUAAGGGAUUUUUUUGUAACCUUGAAACAUGCAUUGGUUUUAUUAUGGUCAAACUGCAGAUCUGCAGAUUUUGUUACCAUGGUUCUACUAACGUAACAUUAUAGUAAUGCUGGAGUGAAACUGUGGUAACCAUAUUAUUUUAAAUCAUGGUAAAGUUUGUGGUUACUAAAAUGCACUACUAUAUGCUGUUGUAAGAGCAUGAUUAUUUUUUAUUUAUUAAUAAACCAUGGUUGAUUUUAUAUUUACCGUGGUUUUACUGCAAAUUAUGGUAAAAAAUUAUAGAUAACUUUUGCAUGGGUACAGAAAAAAGUGUAAACUGAACGUUUCUAUUUGUAAGUCAUGUGGUUAAAUGCAUCUGAUAAAUGUAAAUGGAUUUGUAUAUUUAUUCUGUUUACUGAAAAUAAUAAAUUUGCAGUUGCUAUUGUA